CCUUUAUGUUGGGCUGCCCUUCUCUCACACUCAUAUAUUCAAAAUUUACCUUUCAUUUAAGGUCUCAUUGCUCAGAUGCCAAGUUGUUUGUGAAAAUUACACUAACAAUAAACUUCUUUUAAAACUAAGGGUAUUCCUCCCCCCCCCCCGUCCCAUUUUGAGAUCAUUAGUUACAUUCCAAAGGGCUAGCAGGUGAUGGUUUUUCUUUUACCAUAGUAGAUGUCUAGGGCUGUGUAUUCUGGGAAGGUUUGUUAGACGAGUUAUUGGAAGGAAUCAUGAGAUAUCCACGUGAAAACUGAUAGAAACAGGUGCAGUGCUCUGGGGCAGGUGGUGAGAAGUCCACAUUUAUGGGAAAGAUGAGUGGUACGUGGGAAAAUUCUCCCCGUUUAACCCAAGCUCAGUUAGUUUCUGGGCAUUUCUCCAAUGGCCCUAGGAAAAUUUUUUCUUGAUUCCACUUAGCCUGGCUCUGCCCAGGCAGCAAAACCGCUGCAAAAAUGUUCUCCUGUAUUUCAUUCCGGUGCAUUUUCUUUUAAUACUUAGACUUUAAUAUGAAAUUUAUUUGGAGUGCAGUGUGACCUAAUUUUUUCUGCCAGAGCAGGUCAGAAUCUGAGCGCCAGGUCUGCUAGAAGGGAGGAACAGAGCUUUGGACUCCAAAUAAUCACUUACCAGGAGGGUCUUCCAGUCUGGAAAUGGUUUGGCUUUCUGCCUGGAUCAAAAGCAAGAACUGUAUUUGCCUUUGAGAAAAGGAUUUGUGACCAGACUUUUGUUUUCCAGUGCUGUUUUACAGAAAUCUGCAACCACAUACUACCCAGAUGUGUUUGUUAUAUGAGGAUAGAAAUAUUUCAUGCCCUUUUGGAGCAAAAGUGGCUUCAGAAUUAAUGGUGAUCCACUCAGCAUCACUGACCAUAGCCUCAGAACUGCUUGACUGUUCAGUGGGCACAUGGCAAUGAGGAAGAGUGAGACCCACUAGGUGAGACCUCACAAGGUGAGGAAAUUGGAGAACUAUGAUUCUGAUGUCUGUAAAAGUAAGAUGGAGGAAAGUAAUUAUCUUUUGAGUGACAUUAGGGGAGGUUCGAAGGAGUGAGUUUAUAAAUGGGGAAAGGUACAAUUAAGGCAGUCAGGGAUUAUUAGUAUCUGAUAAAGGUAUAAGAAAUACUUCUCUACAGAGUCAACCCCUUGUACACUAAUCAACACAACCUCACACCAUGAAGAAUUUGAUAGACCAAUGAAAGGGCAGAUAGCCAGCUUUUUUAUUACAUCUAACAUUAAUAUUAGUUUGGUGUAAAAUGUCCUUGUCUGUGUUUCAUAUAUUCCCAAGAGUGUUGGAAGAACAGCGUAUGGCAAGUUAAAAAAAAAGUCUAUCAAAUAAUGUCUCCAGAAAUUCAUCUAAGAAGGCAUUAACUUGGGUCUCACAUUAAGAAUUGUGGCUCAUUGGUGGUUAGCCAUUCCAGGCCCUUUAGUAUAUAUAACUUCUUCUAUAUGUAAUUCUGUAGCACCUGAACCUGGUGCUAACUUUGUUCAAGACUACAUCUCUAGUCCCCUGAAUGCUACUUAGCACAUAGUAUGCCUACCCUAAAUAUUGUUAAAAGAAACUGAUAUUCAGAGAUCUUAAGUAUCUAGUUCCCAAACUAGCAAGCAUCAAAACAAAAAAUUUGAAUCCAGGUCUAUGUGGCUCCAAUUCAUGCUUUUCUUAUGUUCAUUCAUGCAUUAUAUGAUUUACUUAAUGCUCUCAGGAUUUUUAGCAAAUUAUGGGAUAUAACCAACACACCAAAGAUGUAAAUAAAAUGUUAUGUAAUUUUAAUAUAUAUUGUUGA
ensembl:lncRNA